AUUGAACGCUGGCGGCAUGCCUUACACAUGCAAGUCGAACGGCAGCACGGGAGCAAUCCUGGUGGCGAGUGGCGAACGGGUGAGUAAUAUAUCGGACCGUGCCCAGUCGUGGGGGAUAACGUAGCGAAAGCUACGCUAAUACCGCAUACGAUCUAUGGAUGAAAGCGGGGGAUCGCAAGACCUCGCGCGUUUGGUGCGGCCGAUAUCAAAUUAGGUAGUUGGUGAGGUAAAGGCUCACCAAGCCGACGAUCUGUAGCUGGUCUGAGAGGACGACCAGCCACACUGGGACUGAGACACGGCCCAGACUCCUACGGGAGGCAGCAGUGGGGAAUUUUGGACAAUGGGCGCAAGCCUGAUCCAGCAAUGCCGCGUGCAGGAUGAAGGCCUUCGGGUUGUAAACUGCUUUUGUACGGAACGAAACGGCGAGCUCUAAUACAGUUUGCUAGUGACGGUACCGUAAGAAUAAGCACCGGCUAACUACGUGCCAGCCGCCGCCGUAA
rnacentral:rRNA from 1 species